rnacentral:rRNA from 1 species
ACGGAGGAUGCAAGCGUUAUCCGGAAUUAUUGGGCGUAAAGCGUCCGCAGGUGGUUUUACAAGUCUGUUGUCAAAGCGCGAGGCUCAACCUUGUAUAGGCGAUGGAAACUGUAAGACUAGAGUGCGGUAGGGGUAGAGGGAAUUCCCGGUGUAGCGGUGAAAUGCGUAGAUAUCGGGAAGAACACCAGUGGCGAAGGCGCUCUACUGGGCCUGCACUGACACUGAGGGACGAAAGCUAGGGGAGCGAAAGGGAUUAGAUACCCCUGUAGUCCUAGCCGUAAACGAUGGACACUAGGUGUUGCGCGUAUCGACCCGUGCAGUGCCGUAGCUAACGCGUUAAGUGUCCCGCCUGGGGAGUACGCUCGCAAGAGUG